UCGCUCAGGCCUCCCCUCAUAUAGACGCACUAAUCUUUCAUCUUUUACUAAAGAUUACCGUGGGGAUGGGCAAGAAAAUGAGCCAAUAGGCCAAUUUUACAGCAAAGCUGUAUACCUCUC